AUGGAGCUGAUGCGCUGCAGCAGAGCCAUGGUGGGCCGCACCUGCCCUUGGCUCCUGCUGCUUGGGCUGAUCGCCAUGUUGGGCCGGCCCCUGGACAUUUCCAGCCUUCCUGCCACGGACACGGUCACGGGCACCUCGGCUGUGCUCGAUGAGACCCUGGAGCAGGAGGACGUGUGCCCAGGGAGGAGCCCCUCGGGGCACACGGUGCUGCUUUCUUGGGGCUGCAUAGCCCUGGACCUGCUGGUGACGGGCGUGUCAUUCGGCUGGUGGCUGCGGAGACGCUGGGGACAGGAGAAGCACCAGAGCCCCUCGGACUCUCCAGGGACGGGCUGCCAGGGAUACGACUGCCGCAAGGAGCUGCUCCGGCUGCUGAGGGACAACCGCGCCCUGAUGCGGAUGUGCCUGGGCCACCGCCCUUUGCCUGGAGAGAAGAGACUGAGGAAAUGGGGCAUUUGGAAGAGGAGGAGACUCUACUUCUCCCCGUGACAACGCCUCUCUCCGUUCCCGGGUCAUUGGGGAAGCAUGACCAGCGCUCAGCCUGGGCACCGUGACUUCCCCACCCAUAGGUGUUAGUGAAGCCCCUCACUCUUAGGCUUUGGUAUAGGGUUCUCAGCAGUCUGUUCUUCCAGAAGUUGUAGUUUUUCAUAGAGCUCAAGUUCCCAAAAGUUGAUAUAGUCUUAGGCAUAAGGCUCUCUCCCCUGUAGUCUUCACACCCCGUAGCUGUAGCUCUGUUUCUCUCCCCCGUAGUCUUCACACCCCGUAGCUGUAGCUCUGUCCAAAUCAAUAAAUUUUACAUUUUCUUUACAUUGCUGCACUUUUUUAUUGUUGUUGCAUCCAAGAGGGAACAGAGCCACUGCGUGGUUUUGCACCUGAGCUGCAGAGCAGCCG
rnacentral:lncRNA from 12 species